rnacentral:rRNA from 1 species
AUGUGGCAUGGAGAGAGAAGCACAAGCACAGGUAACAUCACAGUUCCAAAAUUUGGUCUCUGCUGCAAGGAAGGGAAAGUUAAAUUACCACCACUGAAAGAAGCUCCGUUGUAUCUCCGACAGCUACUACGUUACAAUGAAAGAGGAGAAUCAUCAAAUUUCCGCCAGAACAUCAGGUCGUACAACUCGAUGUUCGCAUUCACUUCAAUGGGAGGAAAGGUUGACUAUGAAAUUAAUAAGCAGGCAUCUGGACCGUAUGUUUUCCGUUUGAAUGGACAGAAUUACCAUCAGAUUGGCACUUUACUUCCUAAAGAUGACGUGAUGAAACCAAAAUUUGCCCAAUUGUACAUACAUGACACAGAAAAUGAAGUGCGGAAUAGGAUUAAUGCAUCUGCUUCAACGGAGAGUAAGACACAACCAGAUGAAAACAUUGUCAAAGGACUACUGGAGAUGCUUGAUGAGCACAGUGUUUUAGUCAAAUCAUUUUGUAUGGCAAGGGACAGAUUCCAAAACCGGCGUAUUAAAGAUGUAAGACUAAGAUUGAUCAACAAAAGGUCGAAAGAUGGACGGCAAUACAACCUACCAUCUGCAUCAGAAGUCGCAGCACUAAUUAUUGGAACAAGAUGGAGAAAAUAA